CAAGUGGUAGGAGAGCGUUCUAUUUGCGUCGAAGGUAUACCGGUAAGGAGUGCUGGAGCGAAUAGAAGUGAGCAUGCAGGCAUGAGUAGCGAUAAUUAAUGUGAGAAUCAUUAACGCCGUAAACCCAAGGUUUCCUACGCGAUGCUCGUCAUCGUAGGGUUAGUCGGGUCCUAAGUCGAGUCCGAAAGGGGUAGACGAUGGCAAAUUGGUUAAUAUUCCAAUACCAACAUUAGUGUGCGAUGGAAGGACGCUUAGGGCUAAGGGGGCUAGCGGAUGGAAGUGCUAGUCUAAGGUCGUAGGAGGUUGUACAGGCAAAUCCGUAUAACAAUACUCCGAGAACUGAAAGGCUUUUUGAAGUCUUCGGAUGGAUAGAAGAACCCCUGAUGCCGUCGAGCCAAGAAAAGUUUCUAAGUUUAGCUAAUGUUGCCCGUACCGUAAACCGACACAGGUGGGUGGGAUGAGUAUUCUAAGGCGCGUGGAAGAACUCUCUUUAAGGAACUCUGCAAAAUAGCACCGUAUCUUCGGUAUAAGGUGUGGUUAGCUUUGUAUUAGGAUUUACUCCGAAAGCAAGGAAACUUACAACAAAGAGUCCCUCCCGACUGUUUACCAAAAACACAGCACUCUGCUAACUCGUAAGAGGAUGUAUAGGGUGUGACGCCUGCCCGGUGCUCGAAGGUUAAUUGAUGGGGUUAGCAUUAGCGAAGCUCUUGAUCGAAGCCCGAGUAAACGGCGGCCGUAACUAUAACGGUCCUAAGGUAGCGAAAUUCCUUGUCGGUUAAAUACCGACCUGCAUGAAUGGCGUAACGAGAUGGGAGCUGUCUCAAAGAGGGAUCCAGUGAAAUUGUAGUGGAGGUGAAAAUUCCUCCUACCCGCGGCAAGACGGAAAGACCCCGUGGACCUUUACUACAGCUUGACACUGCUACUUGGAUAAGAAUGUGCAGGAUAGGUGGGAGGCUUUGAGUAUAUGACGCCAGUUGUAUAUGAGCCAUUGUUGAGAUACCACUCUUUCUUAUUUGGGUAGCUAACCAGCUUGAGUUAUCCUCAAGUGGGACAAUGUCUGGUGGGUAGUUUGACUGGGGCGGUCGCCUCCCAAAUAAUAACGGAGGCUUACAAAGGUUGGCUCAGAACGGUUGGAAAUCGUUCGUAGAGUAUAAAGGUAUAAGCCAGCUUAACUGCAAGACAUACAAGUCAAGCAGAGACGAAAGUCGGUCUUAGUGAUCCGGUGGUUCUGUGUGGAAGGGCCAUCGCUCAAAGGAUAAAAGGUACCCCGGGGAUAACAGGCUGAUCUCCCCCAAGAGCUCACAUCGACGGGGAGGUUUGGCACCUCGAUGUCGGCUCAUCGCAUCCUGGGGCUGGAGCAGGUCCCAAGGGUAUGGCUGUUCGCCAUUUAAAGCGGUACGCGAGCUGGGUUCAGAACGUCGUGAGACAGUUCGGUCCCUAUCUGCCGUGGGCGUAAGAAGAUUGAAGAGAUUUGACCCUAGUACGAGAGGACCGGGUUGAACAAACCACUGGUGUAGCUGUUGUUCUGCCAAGAGCAUCGCAGCGUAGCUAAGUUUGGAAAGGAUAAACGCUGAAAGCAUCUAAGCGUGAAGCCAACUCUAAGAUGAAUCUUCUCUAAGCUCUCUAGAAGACUACUAGUUUGAUAGGCUGGGUGUGUAAUGGAUGAAAGUCCUUUAGCUGACCAGUACUAAUAGAGCGUUUGGCUUAUCUUUAAUAAAGCAU
rnacentral:rRNA from 1 species